CAGCCGCCGCGGUAAAACGAGGGGGGCAAGCGUUGUUCGGAAUUAUUGGGCGUAAAGGGCGCGUAGGCGGUUUGGCAAGUUUGGUGUGAAAUCUUCGGGCUCAACUCGAAGUCUGCAUCGAAAACUGCCGGGCUUGAGUAUGGGAGAGGUGAGUGGAAUUUCCGGUGUAGCGGUGAAAUGCGUAGAUAUCGGAAGGAACACCUGUGGCGAAAGCGGCUCACUGGACCAUAACUGACGCUGAGGCGCGAAAGCUAGGGGAGCAAACAGGAUUAGAUACCCCCGUAGUCCCUGUCUCUUAUAC
rnacentral:rRNA from 1 species